rnacentral:rRNA from 1 species
GCUAAAAAUUUAGCCCUCUCUAAACACCCAUAUAUAACAAUAAACUAAAAUAUUUUACCAUUUAAGUAAAGAUGAAUAAAAAAUUAACAAGAGCUAUACUAAAGUACCGCAAGGGAACAAUGAAAUAAAAUGAAACAUAAUAAAGCACAAAAAAGUAAAGAUUACAACUUGUACCUUUUGCAUCAUGGUUUAACUAGUACUCCCAAGCAAAAAGACUUUUAGUUUGAUUCCCCGAAACUGAGUGAGCUACUUCAGGGCAGCCUACUGAGCAAACCCAUCCCUGUUGCAAAAGGGUGGGAAGACCCUGUAGUAGAGGUAAAACGCCUAACGAACUCAGUGAUAGCUGGUUACUCAAGAAAAGAAUCUUAGUCCAACCUAAAGCUACUAUUACACUUUCAAGAAGUAUUACUUUAGAGCAAUUCAAAUAGGGAACAGCUUAUUUGACACAGGACACAACCUCCCAAAACGGCUAAUUUAUGCUACUAUUAAACUAAGUGGGCCUAAAAGCAGCCAUCUUUAAAGAGCGUCAAAGCCUGAUUUUAAUCGCAUUUAAUUCUACAACCAACAUAGAACCCUUCACUAAUAUUGAGUAAUUCUAUAACUUUUAUAGAAAAUUUUAUGUUAAAACUAGUAAUAAGAAGACCCUUCUCUUUUAAUGUGAGCAUAAAUCAAACCGGAUAAUCCGCUGAUAAUUAUACAACAUAACAGAAACCACACCCACGAAAACCCUGUUUUUUUUACUGUUAAACUAACACAAGAACAUUUCAAGAAAGAUUGAAAGAAAAAGAAGGAACUCGGCAAAUAUAAAUUCCGCCUGUUUACCAAAAACAUCGCCUCUUGAGCAAAUAUAAGAGGUCUUGCCUGCCCAGUGACUCCAGUUCAACGGCCGCGGUACCCUAACCGUGCAAAGGUAGCGUAAUCACUUGUUUUUUAAAUAAAGACUAGUAUGAAAGGCACCACGAGAAUUUAACUGUCUCCUUUUUCUAAUCUGUGAAACUAAUCUCCCCGUGAAAAAGCGGGAAUUUUUAUAUAAGACGAGAAGACCCUAUGGAGCUUCAGACAAAGUAAUAAGUGCCACUUUUUUAACUUCCAGAAAAUACCCGUUAAAACACUUUAUUACCUAGUCUUCGGUUGGGGCGACCAUGGAGUAAAAUCUACCCUCCACGCUGAAUAGGACCUCCUUAAGCAAAGAGCUACAACUCUAAGCAUCAAUAAAUUGACACAUUUGACCCAAUAUUUGAUCAACGAAACAAGUUACCCUAGGGAUAACAGCGCCAUCCACUUCAAGAGCCCUUAUCAACAAGUGGGUUUACGACCUCGAUGUUGGAUCAGGGUAUCCUAGUGGUGUAACCGCUACUAAAGGUUUGUUUGUUCAACAAUUAAAACCCUACGUGAUCUGAGU